rnacentral:rRNA from 1 species
AGUGAACGCUGGCGGUAGGCCUAACACAUGCAAGUCGAACGGCAGCACAGUAAGAGCUUGCUCUUACGGGUGGCGAGUGGCGGACGGGUGAGGAAUACAUCGGAAUCUACUUUUUCGUGGGGGAUAACGUAGGGAAACUUACGCUAAUACCGCAUACGACCUACGGGUGAAAGCAGGGGACCUUCGGACCUUGCGCGAUUGAAUGAGCCGAUGUCGGAUUAGCUAGUUGGCGGGGUAAAGGCCCACCAAGGCGACGAUCCGUAGCUGGUCUGAGAGGAUGAUCAGCCACACUGGAACUGAGACACGGUCCAGACUCCUACGGGAGGCAGCAGUGGGGAAUAUUGGACAAUGGGCGCAAGCCUGAUCCGGCCAUACCGCGUGGGUGAAGAAGGCCUUCGGGUUGUAAAGCCCUUUUGUUGGGAAAGAAAAGCAGCAGGUUAAUACCCCGCUGUUCUGACGGUACCCAAAGAAUAAGCACCGGCUAACUUCGUG